AUAUAUUUUGCUGUAUUUAACUUUUUUUUGCCGUAUAAAACACACCCCAAAAAAAGAAUAAUAAUAACUAUAAUAUUAAAAUAAGAAAAAUAAAAGUUUCAAGAAAACAGGAAAUUAGAAAAAAGGAAACAAAACCCCCAACUCAUACCUAAUUACUGCUGCUACAUUAUACACUUCGUACUUCGGCACCCACGAAGUCAAAACAAAAGAAAAAAAAAACUCCUUGUUCAUCUUCUUCUUCAAUUCAUCAUUCUAUUUACUUGAUUCAACACCCUAAAUUCAUAAAUUUUGUUCAACUUUCAUCACAAUUCAACCUUCCUUCAUCUACCUUUGAAAUUACUUGAGUUUGUGGGUAAUUCAAAGAGGGUUCAUUCGGCUUUUCUAUUGAAUAUUUUGGGGUGAAAAUCGGAUCAAAAGGGCAAUUUUUUGGGUCUAUUUCUUGAGUAACUUUAUCUCCCUAUUAAAGCAGUAAUAGAUGAAAGAGGUGACCAUAUUUAUAUAGGUACGACAGGUGGAGGCUGGCAUUUCUUUUAAUCUUUGAAGUGGUAUACUGGCUAUUGCUUGCUUCCUACAUCUAAAAUAUGUUACAGUGGUCUUCAAAUGCAAGGUUUCAUUGCCCUUGAUCACUUGGAAUUAUGUUGAGAAAGCAUACUUAAUCAUUUUUUUAUUGUUGUUUUUUAUCUUGAACGAUUCCUGUAUUAUCACUUAGUCUUGAUUAGUAUUUUAUUUUUGUUUUUGAUAGGGAGAUGUAUCAUAUUUUGAUGUAAAUGUAUAAUGUACUAGAGAAAAUGAAAUACAACUUGUAGUAUUGUGUUUGUACUACAAGUAAUUCGUAUGCUAAAAUAAUUUUUUAGCUUUAUUUAUUUUGAAUUUCUUUUUGUAAAGGAGGGAAGAUUAUAAUUAUAUUUUGAAUUAAAUUUA